AGAUUGAACGCUGGCGGCGUGCCUAACACAUGCAAGUCGAGCGGUAACAGGUGUAGCAAUACAUGCUGACGAGCGGCGAACGGGUGAGUAAUGCUUUGGAAUCUUCCCAGUAGUGGGGAAUAACCAGUCGAAAGAUUGGCUAAUACCGCAUACGUCUGUAAAGGGAAAGCGGGGGCUCGUAAGACCUCGCGCUAUUGGAUGAGCCAAAGUCGGAUUAGCUAGUUGGUGGGGUAAUGGCCUACCAAGGCGACAAUCCGUAGCUGGUCUGAGAGGACGACCAGCCACACCGGAACUGAGACACGGUCCGGACUCCUACGGGAGGCAGCAGUGGGGAAUUUUGCGCAAUGGGGGAAACCCUGACGCAGCAACGCCGCGUGGAGGAUGAAGUCCCUUGGGACGUAAACUCCUUUCGACCAAGACGAUAAUGACGGUACUGGUGGAAGAAGCACCGGCUAACUCUGUGCCAGCAGCCGC
rnacentral:rRNA from 1 species